GAGACAUAUUAUACCUCUUUGUAAACAAGUUAGAAUAGGUCUAUGGGCUAUACAAAACAUGUUCAUAAAGUUUUUUGCACAAAAUCAAUCUCACAUAAAGAGAUCUCUGCAGCCUCUAUUCUUACCAGCUUCAGUCCCUUUCAGAAUGAGCCGUUUUAGGGCUCCGUCACAUUUAUGCAAACAAGCUAUUGCUGGCCACGCCCCACCUGUCAGAUGUUUACGCUGCUCGUUUUCUUCAUGUGAAAACCUCUACCGCUCGGGUGAAAAUUACUGAUUACAGAUGUGCACUCCAGCCCAACAUGUUCGACCCAGAGUCGGACCCAGAUCAAGAUGAAGAGGAGCCACCUGCAGAAACACCUCCAUGAAUGCUGCAAGCAGUUGCUGAACGAUCACAUGACGUCUGCAGCAGCUGGAGGAGAUCCCUCAAUGCAUAAUUGAUCAUCCAGGUUUAUACCCGGUGUGCCUGAAUGUUUAUUCUCUUCAGAACACACUGAACAUCUACAGAGCUGACCAUCGGGCCUUACGGCUCCGGGGAAUAGAGCAUCGUUACAGGUAUCUUGCCUACAGGAGCUUUGUCAGUUGGUGUUGGGGUUUCCUUGGACGCAGAAUAAGGGUCGUCAAUCCGUCAUGUGUGGU